rnacentral:rRNA from 1 species
AGCAGCCGCGGUAAUUCCAGCUCCAAUAGCGUAUAUUAAAGUUGUUGCAGUUAAAAAGCUCGUAGUUGAAUUUCGGGAUCAGUACGCUGGUCAUGCCUUUGGUAUGCACUGGUGUCACUGGUUUCUCCCUUCUGAAGAACCGUGAUGUCAUUAAUUUGGUGUCGCGGGGAAUCAGGACUGUUACUUUGAAAAAUUAGAGUGUUUAAAGCAGGCUCACGCUUGAAUACAUUAGCAUGGAAUAAUGAAAUAGGACGUUUGACCCUAUUUUGUUGGUUUCUAGGAUCGACGUAAUGAUUAAUAGGGAUAGUUGGGGGCAUUAGUACUCAAUUGUCAGAGGUGAAAUUCUUGGAUUUAUUGAAGACUAACUACUGCGAAAGCAUUUGCCAAGGAUGUUUUCAUUAAUCAAGAACGAAAGUUAGGGGAUCGAAGACGAUCAGAUACCGUCGUAGUCUUAACCAUAAACUAUGCCGACUAGGGAUCGGAUGAUGUUAAUUUUAUAAUGACUCAUUCC